GUCGCAAAAUUGUUUGCCCCUUACAGAGCGAGGCCUUCCUCAACGCCACUUUCAUCUCUGAUCCCUAAAUCUUCCAAGAAAGCAUGCCUCGCCGUUUACACACACACCUUCUUCUGCUUAAAUGAUCAUAUGUCAGACACAGUGCCAGCCAAAGCAGUCAGAUUUAAUCUAGCAGCAGCUGGAUUUGGGGAAAAACGGAUUACAUUCCAAGGAAGGAAUGAUGAUCCAGAAAUGGUAAAGGUGAAGAUUGAGGAUACCUUCCCUCAGCUAAAAGACACAGGAGGGUUUGAACUGCUGAGAAUCUCUGGUACAACACGAAGCCGUAAACUAUGCACAGUCUCAAGCCCAGACACUGGAUAUACAGUGGAAUAUCUCCGCAGCCCAUUGAGUGGAAUUGGACAAGCAUUGAUCUAUAUAAGGCCACUGCAGAAAAGUGUUGCUUUGGACGACAGCCUGACAACUCUCCAGCAACAAGGACCU